UUGCUAGAUGGCAGCUUCUACAGCCAAUAUUCUUUUUUAUAAAAGCUGGGAUGAUCAAGGACAGCAUCCAACACAGGUAAAAGGAAUAGUAUCUCAAUGUUAUCUUGUUCAUGAAGAAUGAUAAAAACAGAAGAAAACAAUUGGAGGUUUUUAUGCUGCAUUUUCUCUCAGAUGAUUCUGAUGUAUGCAUGAUUUGUUGACAGCCAGGUUUUCUAUGUACGGAAGUUUGCUUCACCAUUAGAACUACAGGGGAAAAAAUACUUGAAACCUCAACGAAUUAUGAUGACAUAAUUGUUCUUACUUGUCAGAUUAGGAAGUACAUUACUUCAUCAGAAAACAUUCCUUAAGGUUGCUGUGAAUUCUUUGAGGUCAUCACAAGGAAAUAGAAGUCAACCGGUUCAUGAUGCUAGUUGUAAUAGAAAAAUCAGAUAUUGCUCUGGUUUUCUAGAAGUGGCUUUGAGGAGUGAUGUUGCCUUAUCAAGCUUGCGUUCAGAAAGAAAGAUUUGGUGAGAUUAUGCAUAGACCUUUAUAAAGAAAUUCAUGGCAAGUGCAUUGUGGACAAAGAGGUGUUAGAUGUGCUUCCUAAGCAUCCUCACCCAAGACUUGAUGAGAUCUUGUCUGUUGUUGGGCUUCUUCAGGAUGAACUUGAUCCUAUGGUUUCUGUCAUGAAAGUUGAAAAAGCUCCUUUGGAAUCUUAUGCUGAUAUUGGUGGCUUAGAUGCACAAAUUCAAUAAAUUAAAGAAGCUGUUGAACUUCCUCUUACU